GAUGAACGCUGGCGGCGUGCUUAACACAUGCAAGUCGAACGAUGAAGCCCAGCUUGCUGGGUGGAUUAGUGGCGAACGGGUGAGUAACACGUGAGUAACCUGCCCUUAACUCUGGGAUAAGCCUGGGAAACCGGGUCUAAUACCGGAUAGGAGCGCCUACCGCAUGGUGGGUGUUGGAAAGAUUUAUCGGUUUUGGAUGGACUCGCGGCCUAUCAGCUUGUUGGUGAGGUAAUGGCUCACCAAGGCGACGACGGGUAGCCGGCCUGAGAGGGUGACCGGCCACACUGGGACUGAGACACGGCCCAGACUCCUACGGGAGGCAGCAGUGGGGAAUAUUGCACAAUGGGCGAAAGCCUGAUGCAGCGACGCCGCGUGAGGGAUGACGGCCUUCGGGUUGUAAACCUCUUUCAGUAGGGAAGAAGCGAAAGUGACGGUACCUGCAGAAGAAGCACCGGCUAACUACGUG
rnacentral:rRNA from 1 species